GCGCGGGUGGUGGAAUUGGCAGACACGUAAGGCUCAGGACCUUAUGGCCGCAAGGCCUUGCAGGUUCAACUCCUGUCCCGCGCA
rnacentral:tRNA from 1 species